UACAUGGGGUGCAAACGUUGCUCGGAAUUAUUGGGCGUAAAGCGCGCGUAGGCGGUUACUUAUGUCGGAUGUGAAAGCCCUCGGCUUAACUGAGGAAGUGCAUUCGAAACUGGGUAGCUAGAGUACUAAAGAGGUCGCGGAAUUCCCGGUGUAGAGGUGAAAUGCGUAGAUAUCAAGAGGAACACCUGAGGUGAAGACGGGUUGCUGGGCUGACACUGACGCUGAGGCGCGAAAGCUAGGGGAGCAAACGGG
rnacentral:rRNA from 1 species